rnacentral:rRNA from 2 species
GCCAGCCGCCUAAGGUGGGACAAAUGAUUGGGGUGAAGUCGUAACAAGGUAGCCGUAUCGGAAGGUGCGGCUGGAUCACCUCCUUU